CCUACGGGGGGCAGCAGUGAGGAAUAUUGGUCAAUGGGCGAGAGCCUGAACCAGCCAAGUCGCGUGAAGGAUGAAGGAUCUAUGGUUUGUCAACUUGUUUUAUAUGGGACUAAAGUGAGGAACGUGUUCCUUUUUGUAUGUACCAUAUGAAUAAGCAUCGGCUAACUACGUGCCAGCAGCCGCGGUAAUACGGAGGAUGCGAGCUUUAUCCGGUUUUAUGGGGUUUAAAGGUGGCGGAGGGGGUCUGUUAAGUCAGCGGUCAAAGCCCGGGGCUCAACCCCGGCCCGCCGUUGAAACUGGCAGUCUCGAGUUGGAGAGAAGUAUGCGGAAUGCGCGGUGUAGCGGUGAAAUGCAUAGAUAUCGCGCAGAACUCCGAUUGCGAAGGCAGCAUGCCGGCUCCACACUGACGCUGAGGCACGAAAGCGUGGGUAUCGAACAGGAUUAGAUACCCCAGUAGUC
rnacentral:rRNA from 1 species